AUAAAUGUUCUUUUAUGUUUAUGUUUAUCGUUACAUCCAAGCAAUCAAAAAUCUCACUCCAUCGGCGGACGAAGAAGAUAUGACUUGUAAUUUUUCGUGUAAUUCACACCUUCGAAAUGCCAAAUUGUUUUUUCUGCACAAUUCGUCUUGGUGAAGAAAGUGGCGUAUAUAGCAGGUGCCACUGAUAUCAAUGAUAGGUGGAAGAAAAAUAUGAUGUAUAGAAUAUUCGAGCGAUUGUACCACCUGAAUUCGGCCAUUUUUAUGAUGUCCAAAGUCACGACCACCGAGUUCGAAUCUGUCUGUUUUGAUGACAUUUUACAAAUGUUUACAUAUUCAAUUGAAAUUGCAAGACAUCAUUGUAACUAAACUCAACUUAUGUUUUUGUUUAAUGUACCUACCUACUCAAGGUUGAAUGAUAGACUUUAUUAAAAGCCAUGCUUUCAAACUAAAAGUCAAGGCUCUGGCUAAGAUAUUAUUGUUUCUGAGUACAAAGACCUAACCAGAGGUAUCAAAUUAAUAUCAAGUUUAGAAUUUACUCCGUUUCUAUAUCGUAUUGUGUUUGCCAAUCCCUCACAAAACAGGGUGGAAAUACAUAUGUGAUAAGUACUAUAAUAAUAGUUAGGCCCUGUUUUUUUCAUGAUUACUGGAAACUGCGUGGAAACUAAAAUGACAUAAGAGAGGGCAAUGUGUGACGAAAAAACCAUGUUCGUGCAUUAAACCGUUGAGGAGUUCCCAUACCUGGAGCCAUUCUUGGGUGCACCAUCAGGUAAUCCUUAUCGUAAUAAUGCAUUGUCAAUACUAAAAAUGUGUUCAACAUUUUACCUCAACGGUCGAAAAUAUAUGCUGCAAAAUUGAGUUCCAUGUCCCGACAUACAAAAUUACCUUACUAAGUAUACAAAAGCGUGCGAGUACAAGAAAUCAAGAGACAAAAGUCAUCAAAUUUACUGGAAACCAUCUGGGCUAUGCUAUGGGCACAGCUUUAGGUUAGUUACUUCCACGUCAGGAUUUUGGACCAAUAUCAAUGUUUGUUUAUAUUAGAUUAAAAUCAACAUAGAUUUUAAUCGUAAGUACUUAAUUGGCAUUAAUAGUGCUGUAUUUUAAUGAGCUUAGCAUCCUGUCCUAUAUGUACCUAGAAUAAUUUCAAUUUCCUCAUAUCAGUACCCAUCGGCAUGUUAUUAACGACACACAGGAAUUUGUUAUGGCUUAGAUUGAUUCUAGGAUAUACUUAUAUACAAUAUUCUUAUUAAUAUGAGUCAACCGAGCAAAGGUUUUCCUUGUAGCAUUUGUAUGAAUAGAUGUCUUGCACGUGGUGAGCAUGCUUCUGUCAUAAUCUUGUCCGUUGGUCCAUUGAUAAUAUAAACUACCAUCUCGAUCUCACGCUACAUAUGGAAUCCAUGUGUCUACAGUUUUUUGUUAAAAUUUUUAUCUCAAGCCAUUGUGAGUAAAAAAUCCUUUCAUAGAAACCAUCUCAUCCAAAUACUUCCAAAACUUACAACAAAUAAGAAUGUAGAUAACCUCGAACGCAAUAUCCGGGUGAGUCAGCUUUGCAAAGUUCACUUGAAUCCUGAUCAAAAGUUCAACAGAAUGUCUAUUGCGUGUUGCUAACUUUAAUUUAUAACGAUGAUCAAAUUUGGAUUAAGAGAAUAAAACACGGUACUCAUUUGUAACUGAUGAAACAGACGCAUUAUAAUGAAUACAUAGCACAUACAUAGACAAACGGUCGUUGCGAUCCUGUGAGGCAAGAUAAGAUUUCUAUGUUUAUUUUCUCUACUCAUUUAGUGGACAUUUAAGCGAAUAUAAGCAACUGUUUAAUAUUAUAUAACCUACUUAAUAUGUUAAGAUGUCUGGAAUCCAAUUCAAAAGCAAGAACCUGAGUAAAAGUUGAUAAGUUAUAACUAAUGCGUUUGUUUUCUACCCCUAGAUUCUAUUAAUAACAAAAUGAAAUUAGAUGAAUUCCAAACAAACACCACAAAGAGUCGAAAAGGACGUCUUAUGAUCUCAACAUCAGUACCACAGAACUUUCUCAAUGAGACACAUUCAUAAUUUAUGGGAACAUUUUUUCUGGGGCGUAACGGUUUUUGUAUUAUUUUUUGUCAUCUCUGACCGUGUGAAGAAUCUCAAUGGAUGCAGCAUGUGCAUAGGUCGACCUGCCACAAUAGAACUCUGAUAUUCAUAAGCAGUACCAUAUUUAAUUCUACAUCUUGUAAGUUUUGAUGGGAAUGAGAAAGAUCAUGUAAUAAUGGUUGGUGUUGGCGUCGUCAAUGGUUUGUUUUUUAUUUAAGAAACGCAAUUCUUUAUAGAUGUUCACACGAUGUUGAUACCAAGAAUUGUGGAAGAUGUUGGAAAUGUUGCGUAAUUGUGCAAUUUUCAUGAUGGCUAUAAAAAUAAAACCUCGUAAUUUGUUAAUAAGGAAAAGUUAUGGUACCUACCAGUUUCAUCAUCAAUGCCGCAGUAUAUGUAGGUAUCGACGUUACUUAGAUAAUUUGGGUGUGCUGUCUAUUUGUCUCGUCAUUAGUUGUAACCAUGUUGUAACUUUACCCUUUCAGCUUAUAAUAUAGAUUACGGUGAUGUUGUUACUUUUAUGUGUGACUCAUAUUUACUUAGGUAGUUUAGUUAUUUAUCCCAAAAAAUCCAAUGAUGAAUGUUUACCAGUAAUGGAGUUUUUUUAUCAAUGUUUUUAUCCAGUGAUUCAUACAUGGAUAACUUGAAAAAUCUAAAGCUGUGUGCUGCAUAAAUCUUUGGAUUUCAUCAUAAUAAUACUUAGCAAAUUGACAUCUAUACUCUUACACAAACAUUCUCUAUCCUAUUCUGAAUUAAGAAUGAA